CGUUAGCGGCGGACGGGUGAGUAACACGUGGGUAACCUACCUAUAAGACUGGAAUAACUCCGGGAAACCGGGGCUAAUGCCGGAUAACAUGUUGAACCGCACGGUUCUACAGUGAAAGACGGUCUUGCUGUCACUUAUAGAUGGACCCGCGCCGUAUUAGCUAGUUGGUGGGGUAACGGCCUACCAAGGCGACGAUACGUAGCCGACCUGAGAGGGUGAUCGGCCACACUGGAACUGAGACACGGUCCAGACUCCUACGGGAGGCAGCAGUAGGGAAUCUUCCGCAAUGGGCGAAAGCCUGACGGAGCAACGCCGCGUGAGUGAUGAAGGUCUUCGGAUCGUAAAGCUCUGUUGUUAGGGAAGAACAAAUGUGUAAGUAACUGUGCACAUCUUGACGGUACCUAACCAGAAAGCCACGGCUAACUACGUGCCAGCAGCCGCGGUAAUACGUAGGUGGCAAGCGUUAUCCGGAAUUAUUGGGCGUAAAGCGCGCGUAGGCGGUUUUUUAAGUCUGAUGUGAAAGCCCACGGCUCCACCGUGGAGGGUCAUUGGAAACUGGAAAACUUGAGUGCAGAAGAGGAAAGUGGAAUUCCAUGUGUAGCGGUGAAAUGCGCACAGAUAUGGAGGAACACCAGUGGGGAAAGCGGCUUUCUGGUCUGCAACUGACGCUGAUGUGCGAAAGCGUGAGGAUCAAACACGAUUAUAUACCCUGGUAGUCCACGCCGUAAACGAUGAGUGCUAAAUGUUAGGGGGUGUCCGCCCCUUAGUGCUGCAGCUAACGCAUUAUGCACUCCGCCUGCGGAGUACAGUCGCAAGACUGAAACUCACACGAAAUGACGGGGACACGCAC
rnacentral:rRNA from 1 species